AUUCCCCUGCGAUGUGCGUGAUUGACAUUCGUUUUUUGAGCCAACACCUUAGAACCGGGAGCCUUUUCGUUUUUGCCGUGUGCAUGUCCGCUUGAAUCCCGUUAGGGAUCGCGGAAAGCCUGAAGCGAAGACAAGGGGCACCCACUUGGUCCCAAGGUUCAAAAAAGGUGGUUGACACGGCAUCGGCGGGGGUUAU
rnacentral:other from 1 species